GACGAACGCUGGCGGCGUGCUUAACACAUGCAAGUCGAGCGGUAAGGCCCUUUCGGGGGUACACGAGCGGCGAACGGGUGAGUAACACGUGGGUGACCUGCCCUUAGCUCUGGGAUAAGCCUGGGAAACUGGGUCUAAUACCGGAUAUGACUCCAUGACGCAUGUUGUGGGGUGGAAAGCCUUGUGCGGCUAGGGAUGGGCCCGCGGCCUAUCAGCUUGUUGGUGGGGUGAUGGCCACCAAGGCGACGACGGGUAGCCGGCCUGAGAGGGCGACCGGCCACACUGGGACUGAGACACGGCCCAGACUCCUACGGGAGGCAGCAGUGGGGAAUCUUGCGCAAUGGGCGAAAGCCUGACGCAGCGACGCCGCGUGAGGGAAGAAGGCCUCGGUCGUAA
rnacentral:rRNA from 1 species